UAAUGAGUAGUUUAAUAAAAAACGAUAGGUUGUGGUUCUAUAGAUAGGGUUAACUACUCUCAUUAG
rnacentral:tRNA from 1 species